CAGCAGCCGCGGGAAUACGGAGGGAGCUAGCGUUAUUCGGAAUUACUGGGCGUAAAGCGCACGUAGGCGGCUUUGUAAGUUAGAGGUGAAAGCCCGGAGCUCAACUCCGGAAUUGCCUUUGAUACUGCAUCGCUUGAAUCCAGGAGAGGUGAGUGGAAUUCCGAGUGUAGAGGUGAAAUUCGUAGAUAUUCGGAAGAACACCAGUGGCGAAGGCGGCUCACUGGACUGGUAUUGACGCUGAGGUGCGAAAGCGUGGGGAGCAAACAGGAUUAGAUACCCGAGUAGUCCCUGUCUCUUAUAC
rnacentral:rRNA from 1 species